AACCACACUAUCAAUGAAUGGAUUCAUCCGCGAGAUGACGUUAUUGUUUCACCUAGGAUGUGGACAUGGCAUCCUAUUACCAGCCAUCGCACGAAACUAAUAGGAUGCCACGUCCUCAUCCUUGAUGAAACAACCACAUUAUCUCAUGGGUGAAUCCAUUCAUCGAUAGUGUGGUU
rfam:Oryza barthii chromosome 3, whole genome shotgun sequence.